rnacentral:tRNA from 1 species
GUGGGUAUAGCUCAGUGGUAGAGUGUGUGCUUAGCAUGCAGGAGGUCCUGAGUUCAAUCCCCAGUACCUCCA